ensembl:lncRNA
GUGUAAAUGCCCUUAAGUCGACUGCGCUUUAGAAUCACUUGGGGAUCAUCUAAAAAAUACCAAUUCCUGGGGCCAACCCCUAGGGAGUCUGAUUUCACUGGUCUGAGGCCACGCCUCCUCAUCCACACCGUUUAAAAAGCUUCCCAAGCCAGGCAACAACUGAGCUGAGCGUCUGGACCUGAACCGCCCUGCAGGGAAAGGCAACGGAAGCUCUUGCUAGGGUAGCAACUAUGAGCUCAAAUCCACCGUCCCCCUCCCCGACUUCAGGACUCCAGGUUGUGGUUCGAACCCGCCUUUGGCAGCUCCUUCAAACGGGAACCAGCCCCAUCACUUUGUAACGUUCGGCGUUGGCGCAGGGGUCUGCAGCUUCCGCCUGCCCGAAACUUGGUGCUGGCUGACCCUGAAGGCGGCCCUGUGAGAGGGAGGCAAGAGAGCGAGCUGAUCCGGGCACCGCACAGGCGGAGGCCGAGACUCUGUCAGGAGUGGAGUGGAAAUAUCACAGAAGGAAAAGUACCCAAGAGCAGAAACCCCAUUCUUCCCCUCCUGGAGGCCGCAGUGAAGAGGAAACACUGGGCUGUAAAGCAGAAAAUUAGCCCUGAGCUAACAUCUGCCACCAAUCCUCCUCUUUUUGCUGAGGAAGACUGGCCCUGAGCUAACAUCUGUGCCCAUCUUCCUCUAUGUUAUAUGUGGGACACCUACCACAGCAUGGCUUGACAAGAAGUGCCAUCAUGUCUGCACCCGGGAUCUGAACCGGCAAACCCUGGGCCACGGAAGUGGAACAUGCGCACUUAAUUGCUGUGCCACCGGGCCGGCCCCAGUUAUUUCAUUUUCUGAUCUUAUUUUAAUUGCUAAAAUUUCCAAGACUGUGUUAAAUAAAAAUAGCAAUGGUGACAAAGCAGUCUAGUUUCUGAUUUUAAUAGAAAUGGUUAUAGUGUUUUAUCACUUAGGAUAGUAUUCAGUUUUAUUUUUUGUUAAUUAGUCUUUAUUAUAUUUAUUUAUUUCUAUUUUUAUCUUGCAUUUUUAAUAAAGGUUAAGUGAUGUUUCAUCACGACCUUUAAGCAUCUGCUUUUUCCCUUUUAAUCUGCUCAUUAUGUUAAUAGACUUCCUGAUAUUCAUGCACACUUUCACAAAAGUACUGUUUUAUUGUUUUUAAUUUGUUCUGCUUUUUUAUAUUACUCCUUUGACAUGUUGCUGGAUUUUAUUUGUUAAGGUUUUAUUUAGAAUUUGUAUAUUUCUAUACACAUACGAGAUUGAUCCAAAACUUUAUUGUUUGGAAUGAUUUUCUGAAUUUGGUAUAAAAGUUAUGCAGUAUUCAUAAAAUAAAUUGGAGAGGGUUUCAUCUUUUUCCAAUGACUGGAAUAUUUCAAAUGACAUUGGAGUAACUUGUGCUUAAGAGGUUAGAUAAAGCUCAGCUAUGAAGCCAUCUGGUUCUGAUAUUUUGUCCAGUGGUAGAUUCUAAUUACCUUCCAAUAUCUGUUAUGGUAACUGGUUUAUUCAAGCUCUCUUCUUUUAAUUGAGCCUUCUAAUUUUGAUUUUGCUAGAAAAUCAUUCUUUUCUUCUAGAUUUUAAAAUGUUUGCAAUAGAG